AUUGAACGCUGGCGGCAUGCCUUACACAUGCAAGUCGAACGGCAGCACGGGUGCUUGCACCUGGUGGCGAGUGGCGAACGGGUGAGUAAUACAUCGGAACAUGUCCUGUAGUGGGGGAUAGCCCGGCGAAAGCCGGAUUAAUACCGCAUACGAUCUACGGAUGAAAGCGGGGGACCUUCGGGCCUCGCGCUAUAGGGUUGGCCGAUGGCUGAUUAGCUAGUUGGUGGGGUAAAGGCCUACCAAGGCGACGAUCAGUAGCUGGUCUGAGAGGACGACCAGCCACACUGGGACUGAGACACGGCCCAGACUCCUACGGGAGGCAGCAGUGGGGAAUUUUGGACAAUGGGCGAAAGCCUGAUCCAGCAAUGCCGCGUGUGUGAAGAAGGCCUUCGGGUUGUAAAGCACUUUUGUCCGGAAAGAAAUCCUUGGCCCUAAUACGGUCGGGGGAUGACGGUACCGGAAGAAUAAGCACCGGCUAACUACGUC
rnacentral:rRNA from 1 species